AAAGGCGGGGGGGGGAGGAGGAAAAAAAAAAAAAAGAAAGAAAGAAAGCGCAAACGGCGGUUACUGACAGGCUGGGCUAGCGCUCGGGGACUCAAGCUGCCCAGAGACAGGCGGGGCUCCCGCCGAGGCUCGGUUCUGCUGGACAAGUGAAGCAGGGGAAGACAGACUGGCGAGACACACCUCUGCCCGGAGACUGGCCGCGGGGGAGGGGAGCGGAGGUGGAGGGGCACUUGCUGUCACUUGGUGGGGGCGCACGCUCGCCUGAUCCCUAGAGGGUCUCCAGUCAGAGUCCCUCCUCACAGACUUCUUCACCAUGCAAGGGCUGCCCUCUCCAUCCCGCGACAAGUUGUCAAAUAAAGCAAAGGUCGCCAAACCCUCUUUGAGGACUAUUCCCGCUCAGGGAAAGGAUGUGCUAAGGGGCCGUGCCACCGUCCCGGCCUUUACCUGAGCCGCUCUCUGCUUCUCUCCAGAGCAGAAUGAACCCAGCAUCUAGUAAGAGAGACUUAAGUGAACAAACAAGUUUCACUGACGACUGUUCUUUCCGACUGACCAACUCUAUCUGAGGCAGUAAGAUCAAGCAGCCAUGAGGUAAACCAGCCUCCCAUACCAUGUGCUCCUGCUAUGAUGUACUAAGCCACCACAGGCCCAACACUACAGGAUUAAGCCACCCUGGAUUGAAAUUUCUAAAAUCAUGAGCUAAAAUAAACUUUUCCACUUUUAAGGUUAUUAUCUUGGGUAUUUUUUCACAGUAAUGGAAAACUACACAACUCCCUCUGUUUUAUACCACCUGCUGAAUCCAUCACCAAGUCCUAUCACCCUGCCUCUCAAAUCCAUCAGCUUUAAAUUUUUUUUUAUUUUGUCUUUGCAGUGCUAGAGAUUGAACCCAGGGCCUCAUGCAUUCUAGGCAAGCGUUCUACCACUAAGCUAAAUCCCCAGCCUCUCCAUCCACUUCUUUUUAUCCUGGUGCCACCACUGUAGUUCCUGCCACUAUCCUCCUCUCUUGUGGCACUGCCACAGCCUCCUCUUCACAGGUCUCCUUACCUGCAAAGGCCCCACAGGGAGCCUGUCUCCUGCUUCUGUGGAAAAGCCUUCAAAGGCUCUCAAGAUGACAAGUAGCCUCCAUAACUUCAAGGCCCCAUGUUGCCCACA